rnacentral:rRNA from 1 species
GACGAACGCUGGCGGCGUGCCUAAUACAUGCAAGUAGGACGCAGUUGCGAACGGGUGAGUAACGCGUAGGUAACUGCCUCUUAGAGGGGGAUAACUAUUGGAAACGAUAGCUAAUACCGCAUACUAGUAGAUGGACCUGCGUUGUAUUAGCUAGUAGGUAGGGUAAUGGCCUCCCUAGGCGACGAUACAUCGCCGACCGGGGAGGGUGAUGGGCCACACUGGGACGGGGACAAGGCCCAGAUUUCGAAGGGAGGCAACAGGAGGGAAUCCUCGGCAAUGGGGGGAACCUUGACCGAGCAACGGCGCGGGAGUGAAGAAGGUUUUCGGAUCGUAAAGCUCGGUUGUUAAGGAAGCGGUACUUAACCAGAAAGGGACGGCUAACUACGUGCCAGCAGCCGCGGUAAUAC